rnacentral:misc_RNA from 1 species
UACGGAGGAUCCAAGCGUUAUCCGGAAUCAUUGGGUUUAACGGGUCCGUAGGCGGGACAGUAAGUCAGUGGUGAAAGUCUGCAGCUCAACUGUAGAACUGCCAUUGCUACUGUUAACCUUGAGUAAUUAUGAAGUGGUUAUAAUAGGUAGUGUAGCGGUGAAAUGCAUAGAUAUUACAUAGAAUACCGAUUGCGAAGGCAGAUCACUAAUAAAAUUCUGACUCUGAUGGACGAAAGCGUAGGUAGCGAACAGG